rnacentral:lncRNA from 1 species
GUUCAAGUGAGAGGCUUUUCAUGAAAAUCUUAGGAUUGAAGAGCUCUAAGUUCAGGAUAUCUCAAUGUUCAGAAAGCCUGACUAAAAGAAGCCAAACCAAAACCAUUUAAUGUGAACACAAACCUCUUUUCUUUUAGUAAGUUUUACUUUUAAUACAGAGUGAAAGAAAAUAAAAACUUAAUAGGCUAAAACAAGUCAAACACCCAUUCUACACAGAUAAAAACCUUCACAAAGGUCAACUGAAGUAAUCCAGAGCUGAAACUGAAUUGUAAAGAUUUUCAAUGAAGUCACAGAACACAAACAAAAGUCGAUUAUAUUUACACACUCAGCAAGCCCUCUAAGAAAUGUGCCCCAAGAAGCAUUAACCUUUGUUUUGUGCCAUCCUGAGGACUUGUACAUUUUAUUUUUCAGAUAGCUUAACAUUUUUAAUCGAGUGUGUUCUCUACCAUGCGGUAAUGCUUUGGUACUAACUACCUCUAGGGGCAAGUUCAUGUUACUGAGUUAUGACAAAUUUAUUAUCAUGAGGGAAAACAAGUAGCCAGCCAUCUUAAAAAUGCCCCAACCACUGCAUCUCAAUACAGAAAGACUAAAAACUACAUACAGUUUAUCAUACAACAAAUCCCAUCUCUGUCCCCUGAAAUUCCCCUAGUUUCAUUCAUUAGAAGGGGAUUAAAAAAAAAAAAG